rnacentral:rRNA from 1 species
ACUACGUGCCAGCAGCCGCGGUAAUACGUAGGUGGCAAGCGUUAUCCGGAUUUAUUGGGCGUAAAGGGAACGCAGGCGGUCUUUUAAGUCUGAUGUGAAAGCCUUCGGCUUAACCGGAGUAGUGCAUUGGAAACUGGGAGACUUGAGUGCAGAAGAGGAGAGUGGAACUCCAUGUGUAGCGGUGAAAUGCGUAGAUAUAUGGAAGAACACCAGUGGCGAAAGCGGCUCUCUGGUCUGUAACUGACGCUGAGGUUCGAAAGCGUGGGUAGCAAACAGGAUUAGAUACCCCAGUAGUCCGCAAAAGA